rfam:Apis mellifera strain DH4 linkage group 9, whole genome shotgun sequence.
GUUCGAUGGCCUUGGAUGGGUUUGAAUUCAGUCCACGUUUUUUAUUUUUAUUCGUGACUAGAUCCACACUCAUCCAAGGAAAUCGAGC